ACUCAAAGGAAUUGACGGGUCCCCGCACAAGCAGCGGAGCGUGUGGUUUAAUUCGAUGCUACACGAAGAACCUUACCUGGGUUUGACAUAGAGGUAGUAGGGAAGCGAAAGCGGACCGACCCUUCGGGGAGCCUCUACAGGUGUUGCAUGGCUGUCGUCAGCUCGUGUCGUGAGAUGUUCGGUUAAGUCCGCUAACGAGCGCAACCCUCGCUGUGUGUUACAAGUGUCACACGGUACUGCCGAUAUUAAGUCGGAGGAAGGUGGGGAUGACGUCAAGUCAGCAUGACCUUUAUAUCCAGGGCUACACACACGCUACAAUGGCCAGUACAAUGGGUUGCCAAGCCGCGAGGCGGAGCCAAUCCUAAAAAGCUGGCCUCAGUUCAGAUUGCAGUCUGCAACUCGACUGCAUGAAGUUGGAGUUGCUAGUAACCGCAGGUCAGCAAUACUGCGGUGAAUACGUUCCCGGGGAUUGUACACACCGCCCGU
rnacentral:rRNA from 1 species